GUGAAUCAUCAAAUCUUUGAACGCAAAUUGCACUCCCUGGUAUUCCGGGGAGUAUGCCUGUUUGAGGGUCAUUAGAAGAAAAAUCGAAACAUCGCUCUUUUUUUGAGGGGGAUCGCGUCGGAAUUAAGCCGUCUUUCUAAUGUUAAUUCAUGUCAAAGUGUCUUAAAAUUCAUCCAUCCGGUACGAUUAAAGCGUAUUUAAGAUCAAUUUUGAUCAAGAACGCGUGAUGACGUACCAUCUCAUGGAGUACGUUUGACCUGUGUCAUCAGUUUCAUUCGUAUACGAUACUCACACUUUUGA
rnacentral:misc_RNA from 1 species